AUGGUAGAACGUUUUCUGGGAGAAGAAGUAAUCUACCAUAGCUUUGACAGUGCAGAGGACGACCCAUAUGGCUACUACGCUCCCGAGUUCCUUAAUGGAUUGACUCCCAACGGUCUGCCUCCGCAUGCACUCAAACUGAAGCUCAACUGCCCUAUCAUACUUCUGAGGAACAUUGAUCCGGCUAAUGGUCUGUGUAACGGGACGAGGCUUGUGGUGCGAGGUUUCCAGAGGAACGCCAUCGACGCAGAAAUCGUGAUUGGACAACACGCGGGUAGGAGGGUUUUCCUUCCUCGAAUACCCCUAUGCCCGUCGGACAACAACAUGUUUCCAUUCAAGUUCAAGAGGAAGCAAUUUCCUGUAAGGCUUAGCUUUGCUAUGACGAUUAACAAGGCUCAAGGACAGACGAUUCCGAUCGUUGGCGUGUACCUACCUAAUCCGGUGUUCUCUCAUGGUCAACUCUAUGUCGCAUUGUCUCGAGCCACCGCGAAGAGAAAUAUAAAGAUCCUUAUUGAGAAGGAGAAGGAGAAUGGCAAGAAGCAAAGCAGUAAAUCAAAGAAGCGAAAAAGACCUGCCUUGUCCUUACAGACCUCAAUGAAGAACAUCGUCUAUAAGGAAGUCCUUACAGGCUGA
rnacentral:rRNA from 1 species